GUUUCGCCUGUGGACGAUGCAGGACAACGUUUUAUUUAUAACGUUAUUUCAACAUAUAAGUAACGUAGCAAUCAAUUUUGCAUUAUGACAUAUUCUUGUUGCAAAAACCUCACAAAUGAAUCGUUCCUCAUGUUAAUAAACAUUACUGUCAAGAAAAGGCGCAGAUUAUGUCGUUUUCAUCAACACGUCCUCAGAAUUCAACGGCAGUGACAGCGAUGCUCUGUCCGAGGAAGCGAUUUCUUGAGAAAAAAUUUGGAAGGAAGCUUAUUCUUCAUCAAGUUAAGCGCGUUAUAUCCGUUGACACCAAGUUUAAAUACAAUGAGUGACAGUCGAUCAGAUCGCUGCUUUCGUCUCAGGUGUACGCUGAGGUAUUUCUAUUGUUGGUUGAAGAAACCUUCGCUAGAUAUCAUAAUUCGGGGGACAUGCUGUAAAAGAUAAUCAACAAAUCUCACAUCAAACGCACCAAUUUAUGAAUUGCUGCUAUGAAUGCCAGUUUUUGCUUUUCUACAUUUAAAAGAUGCCACAAAGUUUUAUGGAUCUUUUAUUUUUUUAAGUCCUAUUCUUUUUGGCAAGUUUAUUUUAUUCUU